UUAACAUGGGACUCUAUGAGAUUCUGCUCUCUUUUGGAGCCUGUCCCUAGCGGCCAGUCGAUGAAUCGCAGUUUAAGUUACUUCCGUAUUGGCUUCACGAGAGAAAGGGGGAGGUUGCCGCUUGGGAGCUCCACUCGUCCAUGGUCUGUUGAUGUGAAAUCACGUGACGUGACUGCAUGAAGAAGCUGGAGCUACUUCUUUCCAUGACUGGCUACCCCGCCUGUGCCGGUGCCGAAUAUAAACACUUAUUAUAAGUGUACCAUAAUGAUUCAGGCUACAAAAGCUCAAGCAUCACAGCUCCUCCCAGCACACCCUUAUUUAUGAGGAUUAUCUGGAGGCUGCGUUCAGGACCGCAGUUCUGCAAGGACCUUAGAUUUUUAGUGACAGCGCCACCUACCGAAUUACAGGACCGCAUGUUUUUCUGGAAGAUGAACGAUAUUCAGAGUAAACACAUAACAAUCCAGGAGUUCCUCUGCCCGUUCUGCAGUUCUGCUUUGUUUCACCCAACAAAGUUGAGCAAAGUGAAAUCCCAUUUGGAGAGAAAUUUCAAACACACAGUUCUCCAUGAAGACCAUCAUAUGUGGCCUGGCUGGGCUGCAGAAUUUCUCUGUGGGAUGCUGGGAAGGCCUUCUUCUCUGGUCCGGAUUAUCAUCACAGGUAAGAGUAGCACAAUAUAAAGGGACAGGAGCACAUGAGGAUCAGCUGAGCAUAAUUAGUGAAACAAAGACUGUUGUGAAUUAAUUAAGAGUAAUAACAGCAAUUAUAGAAUGUUUAAUUACUUGUCAUUGAUAAUAACAGAUGAAGUUUAAAUUGUUAUAUAUUAGGUUGUUCAGCUUUAAGAAAAGUCUACCCAUAAUGCAUAGUGAGCAAGUGAGAGCGCACAGAAAAAGAACAUGUGACUGAUUCAAUGUGUGUGCGCUGCAUCUGUGCA